UCUGAAGUUUGAGGAGACACAAACAUUCAGUCUGCAGCAAGCUUCCCGCUUCCAGCCGGAGUUUUCCUGAUUUUCAAUGGCAGAAUUAAACUCAUCUUAGACAUUGCAGCAAAUUCACACGAAAGCCCCUGUCCAUAUUGUGAAUGGCAACACUGUAAGCUCUGUGCUUGAACCCUGACGAAACUCCUACAAUCCUCAGGCCGAGCUCUAUGCAGAACAAGUGCCGAGGCUCCUUGUAUCGCCCCCCCUCCCCCCUCCUGUCUCCCUCUCCCCCUCCCCCCAGCACCACCUCUGUGUUUCGUUUGUGCUCCUUACGGUCUUUCACACACCCUGCAGGAUUCACCUGCUCCAGCACACCAUCACUCUUGCUGGCUUCUCUGCCCACCAUUUCCUGCACCUUUUAUGUGGUUUUGAUGUUUGCAGCCGGGGGACCCAGGACCACAGCUCAGGUGCCUGGAGAGACCCAUCCAGACCCUUAGCCUCCAGCUAGUCCACGGGGCCAACUUCUCCUUGGACCCCUCUAGCCUGAGCAACUGUCCAAAGCUCCAGGCAGUUUCCACUCCUGCCCUGAAGAGGCGUGUGCUUUGCAGGAACUUCUGACCAAACUAGCUGCUUCCGCUCAGCUGAGGCGCACAAAGGCAGUCACACUGAAACAGGCUUAUGUGUGUAGAUGGCUGUGCAGAGCAGAACCCGAGCUAAAGGGUAUACUUCCUGGCCUGAGGCAUAAACACCACAUAUACUUUUUUUUCUCCUUUCAUAAGGGAUAUUUUUCAGGCUUGUAAUGAAGUGUGGUCAGAAUGUAUUCGCUUCUAGAAUAUUAAGCCAGGCAGAGGUUUUUUUCCUUUUUUCUCUUUUAUACAUGUGAAUAAAAGUGGAGUAAACAGAGCAUACUGAUAAAUAUUUUACACAAAUGUCAGUGGAUGUAAUUCUAGAGCAGACAUUUUUCUGGGGGAUUUGGUGUUGGUUUAAAAGGAAAGGCAGGAGAUCAGACUAGGUACCUUUAGCAGUAGCUUCACAGAGUUUGGGUUGGGAAAAGCACAGAAAUGGUUUUUUAAAUUUUCAGGAUUUCCACUUGGAAGUUACCAAGGUUGAAAAAUACCAAACUGCAGAAUGCUAAAACUGUAGAUUCUUUUGGUCUUCCUUACGAGGAUCCCUGUUUCUGUGCCUGCUCUCCAACUGGCUGAAGAAUCAAGAAAAAAUGUUGUGCGGGACACUUGGGUGGCUCAGACGGUUAAGUGACUGCCUUUGGCUCAGUUCAUGAUCUCACGGUUCAUGGGAUUGAGCCCCACAUCAGGCUCUGUGCUUGGUUCAGAUCCUCUGCUUCAGAUCCUCUCUCUGCCUCUCUCUCUGUCCCUCUCCUGCUCAUGCUCUCAGUCUCUCAAAAAAAAAAAAAAAAAAAAAAGUUGCAGAUGGGCUUAACCCUUCCCUGUAGAGCAGCUCUGACAAAGGUCUUUUCCUGUAUGAAAUUCCCCAAGAUUUCAGAAGAUAAAAUGUGUGUGUGUAUCUCUGUGCGUGGGCACAAAUACAUAUAUGCACACGCAUACCUGUAUGCAUGUGUUUGUAUAUACAUACACAUCUGCACAAGUGUGUGUAUAUACAUUUCUUUUUCUUCUUGAAACACCCAUUUCCAACCUCCCUGUCCCUACCUGGGCUCAUUUUUGUAAAACCUCCUUGUUCUGUCCCCACCCUUGCAAUUCAAAGGGGCUUUCUUCCUCUUCUGUUGUAUGUGUUAACUCCUGCUCGCUUGUGAUAGGAUGUAUUCAAAUUCGGUGCUCGCAAAAUUCAGAGACCGAUUUUAUUCCACCUCCAGUCUGGGUUUUCCCACGUGUCGGUGCUUUUGAGUUAGUUACCGCUCUGGAAGGUCAGCAGCAAUCACUGGGUGAUGAUUGAUGCGGGGUGCUUGGGGGUAGACAGGGAGGAUCAGGGAGGAUCCAGGAGUGAGCCGUCUUGCAUUUCGUUCUCAUCAUUGCAGAGGAGAACAGUAGUUGCUCAAAUGAGGCCCCGAGGAGAAGGGCCUGGACUCCUACCUGGCCAGUGCCUCAAGGUCAGCUCAUGCCUGUCAUCAGGGAGGGUCUGUGUCUGUGUCUCUGAAUCCCUCCUGUGCUUCUUCUAGUUCUGUUGUGUGGGUUUUUUUUAAGUUUAUUUAUUUAUUUUGAGACAGACCGAGACGGUAUGAGGGGAGGGGCAGAGAGAGAGAGGGAGAGAGAAAAUCCCAAGCAGGUUCCACACUGUCAGCACAGAGUCCGGCAUAGGGCUCGAACUCAUGAAACCACGAGAUCAUGACCUGGGCUGAAACCAAGAGUCAGUCACUGAACCAACUGAGCCAGACAGGUGCCCCCACUUGUAGUCCUAUUUUGAAAGGACUGAGCAACCUCUUCUGCCUACUUCUUGGAUGGGGCUCCUUUCUGAACAUGACUCCAUGUCAAAUACCCUGCCAGGGUGUAGACCACAAUGAGCACCCAGAAAAUGGGGACCUGCUUUAGUCAGCUUGGGCUGCUAUAACAAAGGACCACAGACACAGUGGCUUAACCAACAGGAAUUUAUUUUCUCGGUUCUGGAGGCCCGAAGUCCAAGAUCAAGGUACCGGCAGUGGUGGUUCCUUCUGAGGCCUCUCCCCUUGGUUCAUGGGUGGCUGGCUUCUCUCUGUGUCCUCACAGUGGCCUUUCUUACUUUCCUCUUCUUAUAAGGACACCAAUCAUAUUGGAUUAGGGCCCACCCUUAUGACUUCAUCUUAACUUAAUUAUCUCUUCAAAAACCCCAUCUCCAAAUACAUACAUCAUAUCCUGAGGUACGGGGAGUUAGGAUUUUAACAUAUGAAGUUUGGUGACACAACAGAGCUGCUGUUAACUCUUCCCAGAAAGAGGCUUGAAAUCUUCAAUAUCAUUCUUCUUGACACUCUCCCCAGGAGGUAGUUCUAUGUGGCUGAGAGAGCUCAGGUUCUAGAAUCAGCGGGAACUGGAUUUGAAUCCCAGAUUGGCCCUUUCUAGCUGUGUGCCCUUAGGUCGGUUACUUAAUGUUUCUGAGUUCCAGUUUCCUCUGCUGACAAAUGGGACAAAACCCACACACCUUAGGAGCAGCCCAAGGAUUCAAUAUAAUGACGUAAAAGAGCCUGGCAUGCUACCUGGUUCAAGACGCAUGUCCCCUACCUUACCUCUUGACUCAUUCACUUCUCUGAGGUCCCCAAGCACAUGCCCAUCUAGAGAUCAGACAGGUACAUUUAUUUCUGACCAAGAGAGCAAUUGCCUGCUGGGUCAAUAGCUUAUGCGCCCCUCAGGAUAUCUCAGAACCUCAAGGGAAGGAUCUUUGUCUCCUGGGGCCCUGCGCUGUUCCUGGAUCCCACAUGCACAGCUGAACCUGCUUUGUGCUCCUGGACCUUCCCUCCAGCAGCUCCUUCCCCUGCUGGGCUGGGGGUGGAGGAGGGCUAGGGAGCCUCAACUCCAAGGGCGCUUGUCCCAGGGCAGGCAAGGGGAAGGCAGAGAUCUGGUGGAGAGGCCAACGUGGCCACAGACAGAAAUCGAAAUGCUCUAGCCUUGGAUUGGGGCCAAGGCAAAUCUGCUUGUAUUAGGUUGUCAGAUUCCAGGGAUGAGCAGUUUCCCAGGCUGUGGAAGGUGACCUAUGGCUUGUCGGGAGAGUCAGAAGCAAUUGCUAAGAGCAGUUGAGGAGAGUGAGGGGGACAAGGGAGCGUGCCAGAUUCGCUGGGAGAGCUUGGCUCUCCUUGCUUUAGAAGGCAGUGUAUGGAGGACGUCCCUGAAGACAGGGAAGGAGUUUCUAGAUCAGAAGGCAUGUUGCAGGGCUGCUGGAAUCAGCACUUUCCAAGUACCACCCCCCCCACCCCCCACCCGUUUCUCCCACGCUCUCCUGCUCUGUGGUCGGGGCUCUGGUGGGCAGCAUUUCCUGGCCGAGGAACCGGGGGAGAGAAGAGGUCAGCCCUGGGAAGAGCAUUGCCUGGGCGCAAGGCAGCCCAUGGGUGGUGGUUUUCUCUCUUGCCUCUCUUUUGCCUGUUCCUGCCCUUCCUAGCCUAGUUCCUAACUUCUCCAGAAGGUGCUGAAAUGGGAAAGUUGACAGAGAAGCAAGUAGGAUAAGCUUGGCAAGGGUAGGAACUGUGUUAGAGUUAUUUGGGUACUGUGUCCUUAAAAGUACCCCCUUUCUUGGGGUGCCUGGGUGGCUCAGUCCGUUGAGCGUCGGACUUCAGCUCAGGUCCUGAUCUCAACGUUCGUGAGUUCGAGCCCCGCAUCGGUCUCUGUGCUGACAGCUCAGAACCUGGAGCCUACUUCUGAUUCUGUGUCUCCCUCUCUCUCUGCCCCUCCCCUGGUCGUGCUCUCUCUCUCUCUCUCAAAAUAUAAAUAAACAUUGGGAAAAAAUUAAAAAUAAAAAAGUACCCCCUUUCUUCCCAAUGCAGCAGAAAAGCCACAAAGGUUGGGUAAACACUGGUCAUUCCAUAGCCCAAGCAUCUGCCGGAAGCUCCGCUGGGGAGCGGGGAAGAGAAGUGGUGCACAGGCAGAGGAAUCCCCAGCCCUCUCCCUACAUCCAUGAAGACGCAGAUGGCUCUUGGCCCCACCAUCUCCCACCAAAACGGGUGGUGCGUCCACAGCCCUUUCCCCACACUACUGCAGGAUUAACUUUCUUAAACACAGCUCCGAUCGUACCUCUUGAUUUUAAACGUCUGAUGACUCUAUUGCUGGCCACGUUCAAGGAGUCUACCCCGAAACAUCUGCUUCCUCUCCCAACAUCUUUGACCCUUUGUCCGGAGUCACCCUUUGCUCUGUGUCUUCCUUGGAUGUGCUCUGUAUUUUCUCUCCUGAGCUCUUUGGCUCAACACGUGUCCUUCUCCCGGGUCUCUCGAGACAGCCGAAGAAAGCGCGUGCCCCGCUCUGCGCAUGCGUGGACGAAUUUGCGCGCUGUGUGAUUCCCGGUCCGCUCCCACCAGGGACUCAUGGAACCCAUCGUGGGUCUGUUUGACGGUCACCCCACAUCCGAGUGAUGCAAAACGAGAACAGUAACCCGUCUCAAGAAGAGACUUACAACUUCCCUUUUGAGUCAACUGGAAAUUUGGACAAAACUUCUGUUGACAUUAUAUCUGCCCCUUUCACUUUCGGUUCACGGAGACGCACUGACAUUUCUGAAAGGAUGUGGCUCUUCCUAGUGUGGCAAACGAUACAUUCAUGCCUAUACACUUACAGGCAUGGUCUUUGUUCCUUGUCAUGAUCAAAUGCUCUGUUUUCUUGAUUCUCCAGCCAAAAGUAAUCCUCUUUUCUUUUCAAUUCUUUCAGCACUCCAUUUUUUCUUGAUUCAGUUAACAAACACGCAGGCAUUGUUAUUCUACCAGGCACUGUUAUUUGUACCGGGUGGUGGUCAGCAGGACCAAUUUAUUGGUCAAUAAAUUACGAUGAAAACCCCUGACUUCGUGGAGCUUGUAUUAUCUACAGGUAGACAGGCCCCAAACACAAAAAGCUAACGUGUAUAGUAUGUUACAGGUUGACAGGUCAUGGAGAAUAAAACAGGGAUAGAGCUACGGAGUGUGGGAGGAUGGUAAAGCUUUUAAAUAAGAAGGUUUUGUAAGCUAGACCUAAGCUGGUUUGUAUCUGCUCAGUUCUCAGGUUCUUUUUGGCAGAUGAUGGUGGCCACGAAGAAGUCUGAGCAUUUUGAACAUAUAGCAGCUGAAUCCGGAAGUCUUUGCUGAUUGGGUGAAAGGCAAAGGAGGAUACAGAGUUCUUCAAGCUCGGCUCAAGAGGUACCGGUAGGCUCAAGCACAGGACUCCUCCCUUCGGGAUCAAGAAAUUCACCUGGAGAACCCCGGGGAAGCCCCCAGGUCUCAGAAGCACUGCCUCUCUCACUUCGACCGCUGCUUCAGGCUGAUGCUUUCAGAUCUUCAUAAAGGCACCGAACAAAGCCAGAUGAUGGACAGCUGUUCAGUGACCCAAGCCGGGGGCGCUGACCAUUCAGCUCUUUAGGAAACCAGAUGCUUGGCUGUGGCUUGGAAGCUGGUUUCACAAGGGGGUAUAAAAUGUGUUUCAGUGUAUUUGUUACGAUGCAGGGAUAAAUAUAUUUCCUUAGAUGACAAGUAUUAAAAACUUCAAGACUUUCUCAGGCCGCAACUAAAGGUUUCAAGAGAAGUGUGGAGAAGAGAAGGUUUACUGGGAACUCUGCCCCAGUGUGACUCUUUUAUCACAAAAGGAUUAGUAUAGGGGCACCUGGGUGGCUCAGUCUAAGCGGCCGACUUUGGCUCAGGUCAUGAUCUCACGGCUCAUGAGUUCGAGCCCCGCCUCGGGCUCUGUGCUGACAGCUCGGAGCCUGGAGACUGCUUUGGAUUCUGGGUCUCUGUCUCUCUCUGCCCCUCCUCUGCUCACGCUCUGUCUCUGUCUCUGUCUCUCUCUCUCAAAAAUAAACAUUAAAAAAAAUUUUUUAAAGGAUUAGUAUAGAAGGAUCUAGAGAUUGUUAUGUAUGAUGCCUCAACUCUAACACUUGGCCUGGAACCCACAGGCACCGAAGUUAAGUAAGUGGAUUGGGGGUGGGGGUUGGGGAGGACACUAGGAUUCCAAACUCCUUCAUUCUUCUGGUUCUACAGCCGGCUGUUCAUAGGACCUGAGGUAAGCCUGUUGGCCUCACCACUAUAAACGCAUUCGGGGGGAACGCUCACAGCAAUCUCUUGCAAUAAACACAUGUGUUUGAAAAACCAAGACGAAUGUUUUAAAGACCAUGGCUCACUGUUCAUUCCCACUGAGGUGACCUUCCUGCUCACAACGUUUUCCUUUUUUGGGUCCGAUUCGGAAGUGCUUUCAGUCAACUGUCAGUGCGGAUGGAAACAAAUCUGGAAGAUUUUCUGCUUUCUAUCCUUGUUAAUAAUACUCACAAACAAGGCCCCUACUGCCUUCACAGGAUGGUGGACGGAUAGGAAAUUCUCAUCCUUUCAGGUCUAAAAAUAAGUAUUUGUUGAUAAUCUGGACAAUCUGAUUGCUUGAAACAGCAGCAGCCUGGAGUCUUACCACAUGAAAGAGAAGAGUGCAUUUCCCUGGCCGGGCCCAGGGACACCAGAGUUAAAAUAAAUUUGACCUUUUGAAAAGGCACACUGAGAAACUUGUGUCCGUGGUUUCCACUCUGCGGCCCUCCUGCUUACGGGCCUGGUACUGAAUUUUACAUGAGAUAUUCUAAGUACAUCCUUCAGGCCGAACAUCAUUUAUUUCCUGUUAGGGCUUAAAGUGGAUUAUAUAUGCAGCUUGACCUUUAAAGAACUUAGGACUCAAGUAGGAUUUCUAAGGAUUCACUUAAUGGAAGAUCCUGCAGAUUAAAGGUAGUUCAGUCAAUAAAGAGGAUUUUUUUUUUCCUACUUUGUUGACUGACAGAACUAUUGGUAUUGAAUGGCUGUUUGCUCACGUUGGCCUUCACCCUUUCUUUAAGAGGCAGCUGGCCCGUGGGCUUUGAAGGAGAUGGACUUGGCCCCACAUUCUGGCCUUGCCCCUCACUCUUUGCGGGACGACGGCGGACUGCGCCUAAGCCAGUCCGAUUGUGCAGCACGUGGCAGGGACCACCUCGCAGAGCUGGGGUGGGGGGUUCUCUGGAGACCAGAGACGAGCGAGUUGAUGUCCCUUUCCCCACAGCGGUGUUCCAAGUGACAGUGAAAGCCAGUCUUAGGCUCAAUUCUGCCAGGGGUACAAACGUUUAUUAGCAUGCCGGUAGCAGGUGUAUGACCUGUUCACCCAACCCAUUUUGUAGUGCUCUGACAAGGACCUUGCACGGGAGGUCUGCUCAGGAGUUCAGGCCAUGCCUUCUGGUAGGUCCGCAGGGAACCGGAGGAGCUCAGGAGCAACUGGGAUGCCCUUCGGCAUUAAACUGCUGGAUUUGCCCACGUUUUAAGCCUCGUUUAUGCAAUGGCACUGGAGACUGCACCAUAUUUCUAACCAAUGACCUAUUUUAGAAUACAUCACCUAUUCAUAUCACCAACAGAAAUAUUUCUGGCAUCCCUUAUGCUAACUAAUAAACUCUUCAGUGUCCAGUGACAUACUGCAAUUUAAAUGCCAAGUAACUGCCUCUGAAGGUAUUGAUUCUUGGUUAGGGCGCUUAGUCUGUUGACUACUGCUGUCCUGGAAUACUCACUCACUAGGUGCUCCCAAGGUAUAGAUCAGAGGGAUCUUGGCCAAGUCUCACACUGUUGCUAUUGAAGUGUUUGUAACUUACCCUAUAGGCAAUGUAGCAGAGAUCAAGGGCAAAUUACUCCACCUCUCCCAAUUUCAGCUUCCUCAUCUGUAAAACAUUGAUAGCAAUACCCUCUAGGGGUUUGCUGUGGGGAAUUAAAGGAGAUAAUGUGUACAAAAUAAACAAAAGUGUGUGUGUGUGUGUGUGUGUGUGUUCAUUCGCUGGCACAUAGAGCUUCUAA